GGGUCAGGAGGUUGGUCGUGCCACCGGUACGUACUGGUCUCACUGAUUCCUCCUUCCUGAAGAACCGUAAUGCCAUUAAUUUGGUGUUGCGGGGAAACAGGACUGUUACUUUGAAAAAAUGAGAGUGUUUAAAGCAAGCUAACGCUUGAAUACAUUAGCAUGGAAUAAUGAAAUAGGACGAUCGAUCCUAUUUUGUUGGUUUCUAGGAUUGACGUA
rnacentral:rRNA from 1 species